AAGCCUACCAAGGCCACGAUCAGUAGCCGACCUGAGAGGGUGAUCGGCCACAUUGGGACUGAGACACGGCCCAAACUCCUACGGGAGGCAGCAGUGGGGAAUAUUGCACAAUGGGCGAAAGCCUGAUGCAGCGACGCCGCGUGAGUGAAGAAGUAUUUCGGUAUGUAAACUUCUAUCAGCAGGGAAGAAACUGACGGUACCUGACUAAGAAGCACCGGCUAAAUAC
rnacentral:rRNA from 1 species